CCGGUAUGGGCUUAGAAAGGAGUAUAAGGGAAUCAGCCCAUGGAGCGCAUGAUAAUCUACUUAGUACGAAUCGUACUUGUAAAUAUUCGUUUUCUAUUUGAAUUAGGGAUAGAGUUCUAGUUAGAUAAGGAGUCGUCUGUAUGGGGCUAUAAAUAGCCACCUUUGUAGAUCUGUAAUCAUCAACAACUCAAUACAACAAACUACAAUUUCCUCGUACUUACUUUCAAGCAGGCGACUUCGCCAAAUACUUUCUUCCUUUUCACGAGUUCGUACGAGUUGGCGGGGCUGCAUCAACUUGACCUCCGGCCAAUCUUGUAAGUUCCGUUUACCAAGUAAAUUCUAAGCUUUAACUUUGGGCGUAUCGCUGCCGUUUCGUUUAGAUUUAUUCACUAGUUAUCAAUAUUCAC
rnacentral:lncRNA from 1 species